rfam:Loktanella sp. 1ANDIMAR09 PM06_009, whole genome shotgun sequence.
UAUCGGAUUCGAAGCUUCCUGAUAUGCAGGCCGGAUGGGAGACAGGCAUCACCAACGUGCUGGCCGGUUUGUCGGGCCUGAACAUGGUCUAUGAGGCUG